GACAGAGGUCCCAAGCGUUAGGCGGAAUCACUGGGCUUAAAGCGUGUGUAGGCGGACUUCUAAGUACCUUGUGAAAUCCCACGGCUCAACCGUGGAACUGCUUGGUAUACUGGUUGUCUUGGGCCAUCUAGGGGCUAGCGGAACAAACGGUGGAGCGGUGAAAUGCGUAGAUAUCAGGAGGAACACCUAUUGCGAAGGCAGCUCGCUGGGACGUUACUGACGCUGAGACGCGAAAGCGUGGGGAGCAAACAGG
rnacentral:rRNA from 1 species